rnacentral:lncRNA from 1 species
GGUUUGAUUUGGGUUUUACACCAAUACGUAUUCCAUUCUGUUAAACUAUGUAUUUAACUACCAAGAAUACUCCCAACUACACCCUUACAAUCAAACAAACUAUAAAAUCAUCAGAAGAUCCAGAAUAAUAAAGUGCAUGCCUAAUUAUCGGAAGAAGUAGAAUCAGGAAGUUUGUUAACUAAAUCCUGCAUGCUGAUUUGUAAUUACAAUAGAUUGGAGUAAGGAUUGGAUCCGACACUGAAGGACUUCAAGAAGUGGCUUAUUUUCAAAUUAAGAAAUAUUGUUUUUAUUAAAAGCUACCUUUGUA